AAUAGAGAGUAUCUGCGUUUGCUUGAUUAGGGUUUUGGUGUUAAUUCUUUAGAAACUUCCUUUAGCAGUUUAAGAUUUGUGCCGCUACUCAUAAGCAGGAUCUUUAACUGUCAGUUUGGCAACGCAAUUUUUCUUUUAAAUUCAAUUUUGUGCAUUGCUAUUUGGUAUUGGAGCUUAGAUUUGUUUGUGGAAUUGGCAUUUUCAAGAGCUGAAUGAAGGCCUUUUUUAUAAAAGAUCAUA
rnacentral:misc_RNA from 1 species